GCAGCAAAAUGUGCCUUCAGUCAUCAGUAAGUGCUGUUACACAGUAAGAAGCACUCUGUGUUCAACUACUGAGCAUCAACUGACUCUACUUGGACUCUUAUUUUACUGUACACUCACUAACAGACACACAAAAUGGCGGACAGAUAUUGGCCUGUAUUUAAAAACGGUUGUUUGAGCUGCUUCGUCCCGAGUUUCCAGCAGAGAAAUGAACAAUGGAGGCAGAUUGUUGCUGUUUCUAGUGGAAAUAAACUAACGACAGCUUGUGUUAACGAGGAAAACAUUAAACACUUGUUCCAUUACCUUCAGCUGGAGGUUGAGACGGAGAAAACCAACUGCGACACUCCUUCAGAGAAAGUGAAAGUAAACUAUAAACAGGCAGUAGGAGGAGACAGUGAAACUUAUGGAACAGAUUCUUUAAGUCUAUAAUGAGAUACUUUCUCAAAAUAAUGACUUCGUAUUUCAAUAUUUUGACUUAGUAUCUCAAUAUAAUGAGAAGCCUAAAUUAGAAUAAGCCUGUGUUCCUCAUAUGCUCCAAGCAAUAGAAGAUGGAUGCACCAGAAAUGUUGGAUGGCCGGGAUACUUACCAUUAUGUAAUUUCUGGUGCAUCCAUCUGUAGCCACGCUGUCUGUCAGACAUUUCUAACUGCUGGUCAAUGAAGGAUGCUACUUCAGCUACAUCUGUCUUAUUCCGUCUCCGUCAGUGCAGAUUCUUUUGUAGCUUUCUCUCUAGGGUCCGGAGAUUUAGUUUGAUAUUAUGUAAUUCCUCCAAUUCCUAUUUUGAGAAAGUUUCUCAUUAUAAUCACAUAAAUAAUCAUUUUUCCCGUCAUAUUGGCAGAAAUGGGCUUCCAUAGUAAACUUCACUUCAAACAGGGAACACAAUGUGUGUGUGUGUGUGUGUGUGUGUGUGUGUGUGUGUGAUAACGUGUAAUGUAACAUGUGAAGAUAAAAUACAUGUUGAUGUUUUAUUAAGAUGUUUAUUUGUAGUUCCUUUGCUUCCAGAAAGCAGCUUUAGUGAGUUUUUUAAAACCCACUUUAACUGUUAAUUAUUGUGGUAACUUUGUUUAAAAAAUUAUGAUCUGUUUGUAUAAAACAAAACUAAAAUAAGUGAAACAUCAUUUGUACAUUUUGAAAUGCUAAAGAGACUAAAAUCAGUCAUUUCUAACUGUACGUAUAAACAAGUAAACAAAUAAGCACAGAGUUUUAUAAAUUCAGGUUAAAAAUGAUUAAAAAUAUAAAUACAAAUAAGUAUUUUUACAACAUAUUUCUUUCUGUAAAUACUUUCUGCUCAAUGUGGGAAUUAUGUAUGAAUAAAGUGAUACAACAACA